AGCCCGCACCGCAGAAACUCCGUGUUGGUACACACGUAUACAAGCACACAAGGGCGAGUGCGCGUAUGGUAUGCGUGCAAGCCGCACCCCGCACCCCAUUCAUCGCCUCUCCCUCGCCCCGUCGAUCCGUCCGCAGAAGCCGCUUCUUGUAGUGGCGCCCACCAACCUUGACAAUGACCCGCACGGCAUCGCUUCUCGUCGCGCGCCUGUAGCAUCUCAGUUGCCCAUUCGGGAAGCUCUCGCCGCGCCUUUCACUGUGCGGUCGUUGUACACGCCCGUUCGCGGACUCCGCCCUGAGUGUCGAACCGUCCGAUGUGCGAGCAGCAGCAGCAGCCAGGAUGUGGGUCAUGUGAACGACUAUGACUUAGCUGCCGAUGUGGUUGAAGUGCGGCCUAUUCGCACCAUGCAAGACCUGCACACCACGCUACUGGGGUUUGCCCGCGCUGCGGCGACGCCGUUCACGUCGCGCCAAGCAUCCUUGCCGCACAAAGUAAGGGCAGCGGCGUGGUCGUCGUCGUCAUCAUCAGCAGCAGCAGCAGAGAUGCACAGAGAGGUCGUACUCCACUCAACACUACUCCGCGACUCCAGCAGCCAGUCUUCCGUUCCAGUUACCACCCCGGAAGGUCGUCAGGCGAACUCGUUUGCCGCGUCUGCGGUGCCGAACGGCGAGCGUCACCUUCUUCACCGCCUCCUCCUGCAUCGCCGCGAAGGGCGACGGCGCGAACGUGACGCUGCCUCACGGAACGCGGCAGAUGGCCCCGGCUUUCCGCCGUCCUCGUCUACACGGGAGGCGAUGUCUGCGUCAACGCCGGCAUCGACGCCAACCUUUACGGGGGCACCAUGGUACCGUGCCUUCCAGCUGUUCAGUGAGGCGGUUCAGCAGCACCACGUGUCGCCAACGGCGCAACACUUCAACCUGCUUCUAUACAUUGCCCAGCAGCACGCACUAUGGGGCCGGGUGGACGACGUGGAAGAAUUUUGGGCGCGUCUGCUGUCUUCUGUGCAGCAGCUGCGACGAGAGAAGAUGCGUGACAAGCGAAGGGCGGAGCAAGCGGAAUGGAAAGGCGGGGAGAGGGUCGGACGACACAGGACGACGCCAGAGUUGGCGCAGCUCACGUCGUCGUCUCUAUCGACACACACACCACCAGCAUCGGCGUCACCGUCAUCCUCCAUCGCCACCCCCACCCCUGCCAUAACGGCAGCCGCUACGACGCGGCAGAUGGACGAGCUGAACGAGAUGGAGCAGGCCCUCAUGCCCAACGCGCAGACAUAUGAGUUGCUGCUCGGGGGCGCGCUGGCACGGGGAAUGUGGGGCCGCGCACUGGAGUACUGUGCACUGCGCACUCGCAGUGGCGUUGCGAUGAUGACCGACGUCUCAGUGCGUCAAGUACUGCAGGCGUACAUUCUUGCAGGGGCAUCUGGCGCCGUCACUCACGCCACCAGGUCCCACACGGAGGCAUCGCCAUCGAGUCCCGCGCCGUAUCGACCGAGGACAGAUGAACGAGGACAGCUCCUUCGCGCGGCGGCGCAACCGCAGCGCAGCAGCAACCACUCCACCGCUCAAGGCGGGUCUGCACAACAGUCUUAUUGGUCCGCCGCGUUACAUUUUUUUCGGAGAAGCUUCCACCGAGUCUCCAGCAUGCAUACGGUGUGGUGCAUGGUAACGCUGCUGCACCGCGCUAACCACCCGGCAGAGCUUGUGCGUGUGGUCAGAGAAGAUUGCGAGCGGUUGGUGCAGAGAUCCCUACGAUCCCUUGCCGCUCAUGCGUUAACCUCCGUCGAGAGAGCGGCACUGUUGCAGACGCUAAAGAUGGUGAGUGACGCGGCUUGCGAGCUCGGCGACUGGCGCACAGCCCUGCAAAUGCUGCGCGAGGCUGUGGAGCUGCGCCAUCAGCUGCUCUCCGAGCGCACUGCAUUGUUGGAACAGCUCUGGGGUGUGCCACACCCGUCAGGCGAGGCGGGCAUGCCGUUUGCCGCUGUCGCGGGCGGAGACGCUGCAAGUGGGGCCCCAGGUGCACCGCUGUCUCACACCACCACUCAGCAUCUUGCAUCACCGGACCUGAUUGGGGCCGGGAGCAGCGACGAGGACGCCCGUCUCGAUGAGGUACAUCUUUCCCAGUAUGUUCUCAAGAACACCCUCCACACACUACGGCGCGUGCGCCGCUACGCGCAGGUGAUCGAUCUGUACAGGGACACCCCGGGCCCACCUGCAGCAGCCGUUGAUGCGGCGGCGGGCGCAGCACGCGAGGAAGAGGAUGACGAUGGCACUGUGGUGUGGCGAAGCAUGUGGACGCCGAGAGCGGUGGGCUACGUGGCGCAGGCAGCGCUGGCGGUGCGAGAUCUGGGCUUACUUCUGGAGCUCUGCGGACUGACACCCCACGGUUUGGAGGUUGCGACGGGCAACGCAGCAGUGAGCUUGAGCACCCCUCCCGAGGUCUACGAUGCCACCCUGCGCCUUAUCCAGUACCACAUUGUCCGCCAGCGCUGUGAGGAGGAGAAGUCGGGCGUGGGCCCGAGCACGGCUGCCACAGCAGCAAAGGGACGCGAUAGGUUGCAGUGGGAUGUCCUCUCGCAGCGCGUGUACGGCGUGUACCGCAAACGUGCCCUUCGCACGCUCGCGGAGGAGACGUCGCCGUACCACGUGUACCUGGAGCGCACGUGCCAUGCGUUGUCGAGUGGGGGUGAAGGUCGUGCAGCCGUCGCGCGCAGCGCGACAGCAGUGGCUGCGGUAGCUGAGUUUGAUGCACCACUUCUCUCCUCCUCGCACAACUCACUCAUACAGCUUCUAGCGCAGUCCCUCCAGAGCGGCGUCGAUUCUUCAACUGUCACCACCUCCCUUCAAGAGGAGGCGCUGAAGCAACUGCAGCGCAUCCGCCGUCCCGACACCCUGGCCAUCGCACUUGUCAUGGACAUUUUACGCAUCGAAGCAUUCCAGCGCCGCUUCUCCGGCGAGGAGGCGCAGUCGCUGCUUGCAGCAGUCCAGCAAGUGUUAGACACCAUUCUAGCGGAGCAGCACAUCGAGUCCAUCCAGCUGCUGUCAAUGUCGCCGCAUGGCUCAGCUACUCACGGCCCCAACGGCAGCGGCAGCGCACAGUCACAGCAGUCAUUGCGCUACCAUCGCUGCCGGUCAGGCUCCGCCUCCCUCGCCGCCUCCAGACCUGGCGCGGCAGAAGUCGGCUCGAAACUCACGCCAGCGCAGCUCGCGUCUCUCUCCACGCUUACUGCCGCUGCCGUUCACAUGAGCUUCGACAUUCUGGAGCGUGUGCAGCCGCUGACCCUGCUGGCGUACAUUCCCGCCUGUGUGGAGCUGGCGUGGUUGCCCAGCGCUGCAGCGCCGGCACAGCUGCAGCUUGCACAACAGGCGGUCGUGCAGUGGGCAGACGAAGAGCUCAAGAGGGGUGCCAUUCUUGCCGCCGAACCUCAGCGCGCCGCCAUGGCCCAGAUGAGGUCUGCUGCUAAUGGCAUUGUCGGCAGUGGUGGCGCUGCUGCUACGCGCAGUGACGCGAUGGACGCCAGCCCAGCCGCGAUUCAAGCAAGUGGGAGAAGCGCCGUGGCGCACUUUGUGCUCACGUACACACAGUUCUUCUCUCGCAAGGCGAUUACAUCUAGUGGGACUCCACCACUCGUCGCGGGGUCGUCCACCGCGGCGGCGGCAGCGAGUGGUCGCGCUGUGCUGGACGCCGCUGCCCAGAUACUGGUGCAGCUUCAGCGAAGCAAGCCGGGUCACCCGCCCACCGCUGCCAUGUCUGCAUUCAUCUCAGCCCUUCGAUACGCGUGGACGGUGAAGACAUCCCCUGCCCAUGGACCGCUGCCUCUCGAGACGACGUUGCUGCACAAUGCGGAGCUGGAGUCGGUGGUAGUGACCUCUCUCAACGCGGUGGUGCAGCAGGUGGGUGCGUCCACGGUGGGUCGCUGGACCAUGUGGGGCGACUGCGUCGACAUGCUCAUGACCUACAUGGACUCACCGCUCGCCACUACGCGGCGACGAGGGACACAAAUGGAGAAGGGGCCAGCGGCGGUGAUGCAGUCUCGCCCUGAUUCGUGGAGACGGGCAGAGGCGACGUACGAGACCUUGCGUGUGCUCCACAUGUUCAUCCGCCUGUGCGACAAGGCCGAAACGGGGUUCGUGGAGCGCGUGACGAUGGACUGGCUACUGCUCGGCGCCGAUAGUACGCGUAGCAGCAGCACCGGAGGCGGUGAAUGUGCUUAUCGUGAAAGCAGCGAUAAGGACGCAUCGCGGCACAGCAUGGUCAUCACGCCGGUGGAACACCUGCGGUGCUUGUGUGAACUUGCUCACAAGCAGCUGCGUCGCGCUCCGCCGGCGCCGCACGAGCCUUUUUCACCGCCAGAGCUGGAGUCGAUGCAGCUGCUGCUGGAUGCACUGACAUGGGCGUGUCGGCGGCAGGCGAAGCCUCUCGUGCGCCGAUUGUACGGGACUCUUGCCCCGUGGCUCGACACACUCCUUCAGGAUGCUGCCCUGCCGCCACCGCCACCGCCAACAAGCCGCGCUCGGUCUGUCGCUGCCGGUGCUGAGUCAGCUGUAGAAAAGGGGGAGCUGCUCCAUCAGCAGCUGAGCCGCCUGCGUGAGACGGCACUCACUGCGUGCAUGACAGUGGCGCAGUGUCUCUCAAGCGGACCUCGUGUGGAGGUGUUGCAGGAUUGGCAGCUGCAGCUUCGCGCACUUCGGCAGCUGACCAAUCAAGGAAACGGCCCAGUCCCACUAUCGGACUUCGGCAGCCAGCGGAAGGCGGCGGCUCUCAUCGAUGGUAUCGCCGCCGUCGCCGUUAAGCUGAAGCGAACAUGGCGCUACCUCCUGACGGAGCUCGCCCUCGACAGUCACCGAGCGGUCUGUGAGGCGCGCCGGCGGCGAAGCGCAUCAUCGUCACUGCAGCCUUUGCAGCUGCCAGAAGCCGUCCUGCGCCACAGGAAAGAUGUUGAAGACGCCGCUGAGUCAUUUGCGGCGUGGUGCAGCGCAGAACUGCUGCCACGGCUGGUCCUCUCGUGCUUGCGUGCAUGUGUCGAGCAUGAGGCGCUUAGAGGUACCGCGCCUACCAUCGCGCCACCACCCGGUGCGACGCCUUCGUCGCCGCGUGCCCUUGUGACGGCGGCAUUGCACAAGGUGGUCGACGCCGUUUGGGAUGUCGACUUCGCUGCCUUUGUGUGGAAAGUUAACUUUUGCGCACGCGAGGGGGUCGAUGACGAUGGCGCGCGCGUGCAGACGCUGGCAAGGCUGCGCACUCGCGGCUAUCGCACCCUCAGCAUGGAACUCUGCUGGCCAAAUCCGGACGGCGCAUCACAGCGGCUGGCACGUCACCUCCAUAUUUGGAUCCUCUUCGCCGUUCACGGCGCCCCGGUGCGGGCGGCGGUGGCAGCGCUUUGCCGCGACCUUGCCACCCUCGACGUCUUUCAAGGCACACGGCGUGCCACGGCAUGUGCGGCCGCUCAGUCAGGUGAAUCAGCGGCCGGCUGCACCGCCACCGCGGCCUCGUCGAUGCCGUUCUUUCUCUUCUUCGCACAGGAGGUCGACACGCUCACCGAGGCGAAAGUUGCCGAGGCGCUUUCCUAUGCCAGCUGUGCCAACUCCGCUGCCACCGCCGCUGCUGCUCCUGCUGCCGGCAUCGAUGGCUCAUCAUCGCAUGUGGCGGAACUAGCGCGGAUGGCAGACGGCCGCACUGCUAUGGAGCACCUCACGAAGCCCCUGGCGCACUACACCCCGUCGGUGCUGCGCGUCGUGCAACAGGCGGCGCAGUGGGUGCUGUACCUCACUCUCUGCGAAGGUACGACGGACGUGCAGGCCGCUGGAGGAGUCGCGGAGGCGGUUCACGCGCAUUCGUCUUUCCUUUUGUCCGUGGUGGCUCAGAAACCUCGAUCUGUGGGCUGCGCUGCCACGGGCCGCGCCGCCCUUCCUUCUGCGCUGCUGCUGCGUCGUUGCCUGGCCUGGACAGGGCAGGCGCCCGCCUACCAUGCUCUCCUGCGUGUGAUUGAGGCGACGGCGCAUGAGACGCUGAGGGAGCCAGAGGCGGUCGUGUACGUCUUUCGCUAUAUGGAGCGACUUGGCCGCGCAGCAGAGGGUGCAGACGCGGCAACGAGAGACGGCGAGACCAUUCUAAGCCCCAGCCCCGUGGAGGCGUUUCUGGCCUUCUACAUGAGCUCUAACACUCUGCGCCGCGCGUCGCCAGUGAGUGAGCGGGUAUGUCUCGCUGCUCUGCUCGCAUGCGCCGCGAACAUGCGCAGAGGCGACGCGGUGGCGUCGCCACCCACCGUUGACCUCCUCACGUUGCUCACCGCCUUCACCCACGUCGUCUCGGACCUCCUUGUCACCGAGUGGCAGCAGGGCCGCCUCUCCCCGCAUCAGUCCGCUGUCUUGACGGAGUGGAUGCUACGAUUUCUCUGGGAAGGGGUACCGGUUUCGCCGAUGGACGCAAGCACCGCCUCUCUGAAGCGCUACGGGGUUGUCACUGCUGCGGCCGCCGAUGGCAACGUCGCCGUCGUCGCCUCCGUAGCAUUACCGCUGCGCAGGGCCUCGAUGCAGUGGCUGCUCGUGACGCGUGGCACCAUUGUGCCCCCGCCGCUACGGGACGAAGGGGCUGAAGCAUCGAAGCUAUCUGCUUGCGCGGCGGAUGAUAGCGCACCACAAACACCACCAUCACAAGCUGCUGCUUCUGCGGAGCGCAUUGCCUCUCUCCUGACAGCGCUGGACCGGGCAAGCCAGCGUUUUGCAGCAUGUUUAGGUGGGGUGGUUGUAUCGCCUAGCGCAGCAGCUGCACUACGCGGCGACUCCUCCAGUAUGUUAUCAAGGGAGAGCCUGGCCAGUGAGCUGCCGCCGCGCCAUCUGUCCAUAAGCUCUCCAUCUGCUGAUGCGAAUCUCGUCCGCACGGUGCUACAGCAGCUUUCCACCCGGCACGCCGCUCAGCAGCUGCUGCACCGCUACCAAAGCUCUCGCGGUGCGCUGCGUUCGCCGGUGCGGGUGCGGGACACGGAGGCGGAGGUGCUGGUGCAAGUGCUACCGGAAGACGCACGCGAUAGCGCCAAAGCGACCCUGCGAGGCGGUGCGGACCCUGCCGCCUCCUACGACAGCGACUCGGCGCGUGAGGCCUCGAGGAAGAUGGCAAGAAACCACGCUCGACGGUCGGUGCGGCUGACCCCUGCAGCGAAUGAGGAAGAGGCAGCGGAGCUGGAGAGCUGGCUAGACGCGGCCGUUGCAAGUCUGACAUCCACGACACCGGGCCUCGCGCCCCCACCGCCUCUGCCAGUGAUAUUGCGGUGUUCAGAGCAGGAAGGAGGUCGCACUUGGAGAACACUUUACAUGCAGCUCCUAUCCGUCACCAAGAACGUGCAUCAAGGCCGCGAGGAGAGGACGCACAGCGCGGCACGCGCGUCAGAAAGCCUGCACAACCUCGACGGCUACGUUCGGCGUCGCGCUGUCAUGCUGCGCCCUGCGUUGCUGCGGUUGAUGUCGAAUCUGGCUGGCACCUCCAGUCGUCUCGAUCCAGCGUCCCCCAGCCCAGAUAAUGGCGUCGGCCCGUGUGUGUGCUCGCUACUUCUUAUGUGCUAUGUUCUACUCCCACUGCGGUCACUACGGCCGCCGCCGUCGCUGGCGGAGGUGUUGGCAGUGGUGCGUCAAGAGUUGUGGAGGCUUCUCGUCACCUGUAGCAGUGCGAGCGGAGCGGGCGAGUGCGCGCCGCACGUAUUUGGAUAUCUUCCCCGCACCCCUUACAACGCGCUCGUACAGCUCUGUGUGCGUCCGUUGAUGCUCGAAGCACUCCCACAACUCCGCCUCCCCACCUUCGCCAGCAGUGAGUCCGGGGCAGCGGCGUUUGAGGCCGUCGCAUUUGGGCUUCUUCUGGUGCACCGCGUGAGCGCAGACGUGGUUGAAAUCCGAGCGCUUUCCUCCACCUUGGCGGAUACGGCGGCGAUAUACGCAUCUCACCGCAGCACGGUUCCAGACGCGAAUGCCGUGAACACGCUGCAGCAGACCGCACGCGAGCUUCUCCACCUCGCUGGUCAGGAGCUUUACCAUCUUCACACCAGCUUCGGCUUAGCGGCAUCUUCGCCAGAGCUACUGCAGAUGCUGUAUAGACGGCUCGUGCGUGCCUGGAUGCAAGCGGGGGUCUUGCUCGGCGACGCGCGCUCGCUACUGUGGUGUGGCCAACGCCUCACCGCUUGGUCGCUGCAGAAGCAGCAGGAAGCGACAGCGUUGGCGUGGAUCGCCGAGGGAUACGGUGCGGUGUCAGCCAGCACCGCGCAGUCCAGUGAAGUGGUCGAAGCUGAUGCUGCUACGGAGUGGCUGUGCGUGCUACCUGUCGCUGUGUUACUUGCGGCGGUCUGCAGUCCCGCCCUCCGCAGCAGCACAAGGAUAAGCGAGGCGCUGUCGUCGCUUGCCUCUGUGCUGCCUCUUCCCCAAAGUAUCCGCGACACCGCUUCCAACAGCCAAUACAGCAGCGUUGUGGUUGCGGCGGACGAGUAUGUCAGCUUGUUUCGCCACUGGCAGCAACUGCUGCAGGGACAUGUGACUGAGGCGGCCAGCAGGUAUCGUGGUUGUCACCAUCAGCACUGGCUUUCGUGUCACAGUCCUUUCGCCGUCAUCCUUCACGGCAGCGUGCCUGCCAAUGCGACUCCGGCACUCAUGGAAGAGGUGCGUCGGCAGGUCGAGGAGUACCUCGCCGGUUCAGCGACCUGGUAUCCGCCGCAGUCGCAGCAGGUCACACCCGUGUCCUCCGACGUGGCGCCAGCUCUCGGAGGCGGCGACAGCAGCAGCAGCAGCAGCAGCAGCAGCCAUGCCACGAUCGCUGCUGCUGACCUUUGUGCAGCCUUUCAAUGUGUAAAGGACGCCAGUGAAAGUGACAUGCGAGCCUUUAUGCGACUCGAGGCGGCGAAGCGCGCUCCUGGCGGCGAGGGCGUUGUCAGGGGGGCGCUGAAGAAGGCGCUGGAAGUGCAAGCGGCGUGGCGCCUCAUUCAUCGUGCAGCGCUGCAGGAGCGUCAGCAGUGCGGCUCAGGGAGCGGUGCUGCCGCCCCGUGGACGCCUUUGGUGCCGCCUGCGGCAUGGCGAGCGUACCUGCUGAAUCUCCCCCCGGUAGUGCCCCACUCCGUGCACUUCGUUCCAAUGGCUGUGACGGAGGUGCUCAUGUUGCAAAGCUGCACUACAUGGACGGAGGGGCUGGCCGUGCUCGAGCAUUCACUAAGGACGCUGCAUCGCUCUGGCGCCACGCCUGUGCAACAAUACAUGGCGCAGCUCUUGCUGGAACGGGUGCGGCGCACGGAGGGGAGCGCUGAAGGGUUCAAGGCAGCUGAUGGAAGAGUGGAGGAGCACCAUUUCUGUGCCGAGCUGGAGACAUACACGUACACUGUGCUGCAGCAGCAGCCCACCGAAGAAGAAACGAGCGGAGGAAAGCAGGUGGCGUUUCCACGUUGGCGUCUGUGGUCGCAGCACAUGGCACAGCGUUCGACACACGGCACGGCGGCGCUGGUGUGCCGCAUCGUUGAUCUCAUGUUUAUUCAUCACAUGCGGACCACUCGCGCCUCGGCGCGCGACACCAUCACUUUCUCGCCUUCUGUGUUGGCGAAGCACACCCUCAUGGAGGCCCUGCGCUGCGGCGUUCACGACCCUGCUUUGACCCGCGUUCUUUUCCGUCUUUUCUGGGCUGAGCAGCACCGCCGCGUCGAGGGCGCGCACGUGUUCUUGUCCGCGCUGCGGGCCGCCAAGCUGGCGCGGAGCGACGCACUCGCGCUGGAAGCGAUGCUAACGUAUUUACGGGUUUCCGACGCAAACGCGGCCACCACGCAGCGGACGGCAGAGUGGAGCUCGCGUGUUCUGCAGGUCAUCAACGCCUGUGAAGCGCGUUCCACCAUCCCAGGCUCACGCGUACCUUCCUCGGGCUUCUCCUCUGUCUCUGCGUGGCAGCACCUUAAGGCGGCCGUUGAGGAGGCGGCAGAGCUUCAGGGACCGACGCACCGCUUCUCUGUCGAGGCGCACCGUGCGACAUGGAAAUCGUGGACAGUGCUGUGUCGCCUGCAGGUAGUGCCCAAGGACGUAGCACUCUGCGUCGUCCAUCUCUUCAAGCAGUACGACCGCCUCACCGAGGUGGAGGAGCUCAUGGUGGUCACCUGCUAUGACAUGACGAUGGUGCAAGCGGAUAGGCGUGUCGGUGGUGGUGAUGCUGAAGAGUAGGAGCGCGACAGAGGCAGUUAGCGAGAGAGAGAGAGAGACACACAUAUGACGGAUGUGUGUCACGAUGACCAACCAGCACGCUGAGAUGUGAUAUGCGCGUGCGUUACGCGACGGUGGUGCGGGAUUCGGUAGACGUGUGUAUGCGCGGUUACGCCUGAUUUCGUUGUUGUUCGAGUAGACAGCACUUUGC
rnacentral:misc_RNA from 1 species